UACGUAGGGUGCAAGCGUUAAUCGGAAUUACUGGGCGUAAAGCGUGCGCAGGCGGUUAUGUAAGACAGAGGUGAAAUCCCCGGGCUCAACCUGGGAACUGCCUUUGUGACUGCAUAGCUGGAGUGCGGCAGAGGGGGAUGGAAUUCCGCGUGUAGCAGUGAAAUGCGUAGAUAUGCGGAGGAACACCGAUGGCGAAGGCAAUCCCCUGGGCCUGCACUGACGCUCAUGCACGAAAGCGUGGGGAGCAAACAGG
rnacentral:rRNA from 1 species